UGCUGUGGCUCAGAGGUAGAGCACUUCCUUGGUAAGGAAGGGGUCACGGGUUCAAUUCCCGUCAGC
rnacentral:tRNA from 1 species